GCAGCGCGACGCCUGCGAGCCCCCUCCCCGCCCUGUCCCGGCACCAGCGCUCCUGCCCGCCCUUGCAUAUCCUCAUUUCGGAUCCCGAAGUCACCUUUCGCGCGUGCCUGGAUUUAAUCUCCCUCCGUCCCGCACGAUGCCCGCAGCGGCGUGCCCUACAUAACACGGGCAGCGAGAGGGACUCCACUGCAGUGCCGGCGUGGGGGAAGGGAGGAGAGGCCGCCUUUCCAAAUUGUCAGGGUCACAAGAAAUUCUUGUGAUUCCCCAAGCGGCUCCCUUGCUCUAGCAGCAAGGAUGCCGUGCUGGGAUUUAAGCUGCUGAACACACGAAGGGAGCAAAUAUUGCCAAGAGAGCACAGGUGGAUACUGAGGAGCCUCUCCCAAAAUGAAUAAAUUCGCAGAAGUGUCAUGCUGCAGGCACAGGCUUCUCCUGCCAGCAGUGGCUGCUUGCCCUGGGCAGGAGGGGCGGCAGCGGACCUUCCAUAGAGUGCUGCGAGCCGGGAAAGGGAAGGGUGUGCUCCGCUGGGAUCGGCCCGUCUGCAUCCCACACAGCCGCGAGGGCAGAGGCAUUCCCAUACGUGCCAGCAGGAAAAAAAGACAACUUCCUCUCAGUCACCCAAGACCAUUCACAUUGGCAGUGCAGCCAUUACUUGGAAAUUUCUGUACCUCACAUGAGACAUCUUCUGCUGCACAUCCCACAAAUCAAGCCUACUCCUCAAAGUGGAGGCUCCAGGCCCACCCACAGGGAUUGCUUCUUGCACCAAACCCAGCUUGAGGCCUGCAGGCUGAGUUUCACCAUGGUCAUUCUGAAAGGACACUUGCACCACAUCCCAGAAACUUGUCUUCUUCUGGGUUCAGAUGCUGCUAGCGCCAACAAACAUCCAUGGAGCUGCAGGAAUACCCAGAACAGCAGCAGCAGGGAAGGCUGUGGCCUGACCACAGUUGUGUCAGCAUCCACAGCAGAUUACUUUGAAGAAAAGGAGGUGAGAGAAGGAGUAAUGAAGCCAGCUUGGGAGGGUGUGGGAAAAGUGGGACUAGGGUUCUGUAUUGGCUAAAGACCCUGCCUGGUGCCUGCAACAUGAGCAUGCAACCAUUUGUGUACUUUUGAUGGUAGCAGCAUGUGACACAGACACCUCACCCCUCAGAGCUCCCUUCCUACCUCUGAAAGGGCUUCCUUCCCCAGCAGGGUAUGGCAUGCAUACAUGUUCCUAUAUAUGUGUACAAAUGUGCCUGCCUAUCUCCCUGUGUGCAGGAGCAGCGCUGGGAUCUCCCAGCCAAGCAGUGAACUUCAGUGGAAGGAAGUGCCUGCACCUCCUGCCCGAGGCAAAAGAAUUUCUAAAAACUAAUUCCCCAAAAUGAGUGCCAAAAGUUAAUGAGCUUUGCUUCCCCACCACCCCUGCCAAGACAUCUCCCCCUUCUUGAGGUGCUUACAUGGCAGCUGGGCUCACCACGGCUCUGCUUCCCUGCACGUGGCUUUCCUUGUGAGGUGCCCUUUGCCAGAGAACUAGGUAUUAGGCAGGGAGAAAACGUGACAAAGGGCCUUGGGAUCACCAGAAGUUGUACUGUCCUGGGCAGGAAGGACACCUAGAGCUGCCUUUUUGCAUUUCCCUGCUCUGAAAACACUCUGGCAGCCUGGACAGAGACAGCUUUGGGAGCUCUUGGAACAAGCCUUGGCAGGAGGCAGAGUCCAGGAGGUGCCAAGAGCAGCAAUAAACCAAGGGGCUGAAAUCAGGAUGGGGAAAUCCAAGGCCUGUGGUGUUGGGCCAUGGGAGAUCAUUGGGUGGGACAGCAAGAGACACAUUCCUGUGGCUGCUUCUCUCUCAAAACCAAGGCUGUCUGUAAGGACCCAGGCUGUCUGUCAGCCAUCUCUUCCUACUCACAUCUGCUAAGGACAACAUGAGGACAACAUGGUCCCCAACAAGAGCAGGGAUCCUGCAGCAUUGUAGCACAAGAGGUCUGAGCCUGACAGAAAGAUACAGGAGUCAGCUGAGCCUGGGGCAGGCAUGUGGGCUGGAAGAAAACAAAUGACCCUUAAAAAGGCUUUGACAGUUUGGCUGCCACUGAUACCCCAAAACCAAGACAUGAAUGGUCUCAAACAGGACAAUUUCCAGGCUGCCUAGAGCUUCUUUUGGAAUGCUGCUGUAUUGAAUCCCCACCACAGCUCCCAGGGGCAAUGCCAAGCUGUGUUGCAGUUACUCUCAAGCAAUUUUGCUGAGGAAAACUGAGGCCAUCUCACUCCCAUGAAAGCAGGACUUUCCCUCUCUGUCUCAGAGCUUUGCUGGGGUACAGACAGGGUCACGUGCCUUGGGAUUCAAUUAGCAAAAGUAUGCAGCUCUUCAUGCUUCCCAACCAUCUGCCUGGAGGGCUGCAGUGCUAUUGGAAGCCCACAGCUAAGGCAGACAUAGGAAAUCCACUGAGAACAAAGGAAAUAUGCCAAAGAGCACCUCCAGAGCUGAGUGUUUUUCCAAUUCAAAGCAAGCCAAAUCUACUCCGGCAUCUAGCUUUAGAGACUUUUAUCCCACCCAUAGGUAAAUGUAAUUUUUUUAAGGAUUAAUUCAGAUGGUUAUGAAUGACCCUAUUUAUGGGGUCUCUGCUAUGUUUGUGCCUCCUAAGGCUCUCUGGAACAAGUAGUAGUUUUCUGGGGCACUGCCAUCCACAAGAUAAACUGCAGAUAUGAGCACUCCUGAAAGGGUCAAUCUUGGGAGCUGCCAGGGACAGGACUGCUGUGGUGAGAAAUGAGUCAGCUGGAGCUGUCAUCUGGUCUGGUCCCUGCUCUUGUCUUUGCUGCACCUGGAGCUGUUUUCAGGAAACACCACUCCUGUCCCGCUGGCACCAGGACACACUGCUCUUGCCUGGAGGAGGAACAACACCGAAACAAAAGGUGAUAAUCAAUCUGGGAAGGGAGAGAAGUUAUGUGGGAUGGACAGGUCCUGUCCUGUCCACUCCCGUCCUGGAGAGAAAAGGGUGAGGCUGAAUGAGACAUGGCUUGAGCCCGGAGCUUUCCAGUAAGCCCCAAUAGCUGUGUGUCCACAGGAGCUCUGCUCAUGGCCAUCCCACAGCAUCCAACCAGGUCUGUUCAGUGCCUUCCUCCACCACAUAUCAAACAGCUGUGUACUUCAGCAGGUGUGCCCACAGCCCUUCCUCCUCCACUUCCCUCCAACUAGUCACUCCCACCCAGGCCUCUUUCACUAUUUAGCUUGUUGCUUCUGGCCCAUGUUUUCUCCCCAGCUGCCCUACGUAGUUACGUCCUCUGUGCCCAGGCAAUGACCAACACACCUCCCCAGCUCAUGCAUGUCAGGAACUCUCUGCUGCUCACUGUGCACAGGACACUACACAACAUGACCCUGUUCCUGGUUGCAAUGGCAGCAGCAAACACAAUGAAGAGGAUGACAGCAUUUGCAUCAUCUGCUGUCACUGCCCAGAAAUGUUUCUCUAUAGUGUGGUAGGCAGACUCCAUUACAGGGUUGCUUAGGAUUCCCAUCUGCAGCAAACUCCCUCUGACAGGCUGCUGUGUGAUGGCAUUAACCAUGUUCAGUAUGAAGCCUUCCUCCCACCUCUCAGGAGUUUCUACCCUGCUCCUCUCAGUCUUCCACAGAACCUGGACUUUUCCUGGCUGACCUGGGUCUCUCUGCCUUGUCUUUGUAUCUGCUGAAGUUGCUAGGAAGAUCUGAUAACUGAAAUCACCACUCCUUUUCUUCCUCUCCAAAAUACAAGUUUAUUUCAGUGAAGAAACACCAGUUUACAGCUGAGGCUCAAACCCACAAGAACAGGUGUUCUUCUCCUGGUGCUUUGUCUGUCUCACAAUUUGACAAUUUUGGUUUCAAUUGUACUGGAAAAGCUACCCUCAACUCUUGCCAUCAUGGCCUCAACAACCUUUGGAAUGUAAAAUUAAUGUCUCUCACAUUGUAUGCACCUUGGAAGUGCACACGGCUCCGCAUUCCCCCUGCACUACAAGAAUGUGUUCAGGCCUCUUCUUUGACCAGAAGGACAUGAGUUCUUAUGUCUGUAAGAGGGCAUAUCAAGGAAACGUGUGACAAAUCUUGUCUCUUCAGGCCUCACUGGAUAUGACUUCUGGUCAUACGAGUUUAUACAGCAGUAACAGGGGAGACCCGUGUCUUCAUCUCCAGUUUUGAUUUAAUCAAGAAUUCUAAAUUAAUCUGCAUCAUGAUAGAUUCAAAAAUUAAAAAAGCUGGGUUUAUUAAUGAAUGUUUUCACACUGACCCCUUCCCCCAGUGCAGUUUCCUCACACAGCAUCCUCUCUAGGAGGAAAGUAAGUGCACAGACACUUCCCAUGGCCCAGGCAGUGUGCGACUCAGUGAGCAGGGCUAAGGACAUGUUCACGUGUUCCCUAGCAGGGUGCACACUGCCAGGCAAAAGAACUGGCCAGCCCAGUUGGACAGAGCAGCCUACACAGAAGGAUCUCUAGAUGAAUGUGUUUACCCGAUUACUGGAGGUGUCGAAACACAGGUUACCCAAACACCUGAAACUAUGUGUUAAUGCAGAGCACAUGGAUUCUUGGCACUAGGGGGAAAGAAAAACUUCUUAAACACACCUAAAGUUCACUAGAACUGUGUGUCUGAUGAAGAACUGCAUCCACUGUUAAUAUGCACAUAGGCCAUUUUCCACUCAGCAAGAAGAGUAGCAGAUUAUACUUAAAGAUGGGAGAAAGCCCCAGUGGUCCAAGGCUCCCCUCUUCCCUCCUCACAGCAGGGAAACCCAAAAGCAAGAUAAAAUCCUUUGCAGGCUGUUUGAAAAACACAAACACGCUCUGGAUCAGGAGAGGGUUUAAAGUGCACACCUUUAUUUUCUAUUACAAAGGCUAAAAGAAGCAAGUUUGGUUUUUUGUUUCUUUAUUUAAGAACAAAAACAAAAAUGUUGUUAAAACAUCUACAUAUUUAUCCUGAUACUAGACCUUAUGAAAGAUACUAAGUUCUUUUUAAUAGUAAAGCGUGGUAUUCUUAAAUUAUAUUAAUAUGAAGACAUAUUAAAGGACUCAAUAUCAUUACUACCAAGCUCAGAACUGCAGCAUCCCCUUGCUAUCUUUUCCUUUCACUUGCUAAAACCCAUUAAUUUUUGACAUACAGUUUCAUACAAGCUAAGUAGGGUAUUUUUUGUUGGUUGUUGUUUUGUUGGGUUUUUUUUUCUACUUCUCCCUGUAAAGGCCUGGUUAACUCCAAUGCCAGUGUCACCUUAAUCUCUGCCCCUACCAAAGAAUUUGGGAAAAGAUUUUCACUAAGUCCUUCAGCAUUUAGUAAGUUUCUGCUCUGUGUGAAUGUCUGUGGUUAUUUUACAGUAUAUGAGAUUUUCUUCUAAUGUUAUAAAAUUAAAAUAUCACUUUCUUUGUGAAAAACCCUAAAAUUUGGUUCUGUGCUGCAGAAUUUUCUUCUUCUUCUCUCACACAAAUAAAGAAGAGUUAUCACAGGGUCUUGUGAACACACCACUAAAGCAGCCUCUACAACUUGUGGUUUAUCUGCUGUAGAGCUGUGAGCACUGAGCACUUCUGCUGAGAGCACAUAAUGUGUUGAAGAAAACCCUCUUGGCCUGACAAAGCAAGCCUGGGAAGUCAAGUGUGAAACUUCUGCCUAUCACAAUGUCCCUUUAAAUAAUAUAAGCAAAGCCUUAUAUUAAAACUUUACUCACUAGUUAGCAGUAUAAUACUCUCACUGAGAUGGGACUGCAAGGACAUCCUAAAGGGUUUCAAAAAUGUGAACAGGGAAACCUGUCCCAUCUCAAAGUUUAUACCUAUCUAUAUAAAACCGUCCCCUCUUUUCUUAUUUCUCUUUCCCUAUCCCAAAUACAAGGCUUCAUAAUUAAACUGGAGAUGCUGCGUUUCCUGGCCUGAGUCCUUUUCCUUUACCCUCAUUUAAAAGAUUCCUUCGAUACCACACACAUAUAAUAUUAUAUAGAGCGAUAUAUUUAAUACCUGUGUAUAUAUGCUUCAUGGCAAGGGUCACAUAUAUACACACUAAAACAAGUCUGGUGACGAAGUACUGCAACACCACAGACCAGGUUAUCAUAUCAGGGAAAACAAAGAGACACUUGAUGCAACCCCCAUGACCGUGGGCCUCCCUCACCUCACCUCACCUCACCCUCUCCCCAUCUCGGCCCCAGCCCAAACCUCUGAAGCCCCACUGAGGAGCUCAGCUGUCAUUGCAGAGAUGGGGAGAAGGGACAGUGACCCACUCUUGUUUAGGUUACAUGAGAAAUCACGGCUCAGCGAACGCUAGAGUCACACUAGAGAUGCAGGUUUGUUUUAAAAAUAAAAAACACAUUCCAGUGUCCCCCAAUCCAGAUUUCCUUCCUUGGCAUCUCUGCCCAAGAAAAGCAGAACAAGAUAACCCAGGAGCUGAUGCCUGUCUCCUCCCAUCUCUAAAGUUGACCACUUGAGCACAAGGAUGACCAGGAGAAGGUACCAUAGCUACCACAAAGAACAGAGGAGAAAUUACAGCACCUGACCACUCAAAAACUGCCAUGUCUGAUAUUACUCAUAGCAAACCAGAGACUACCAUCCAUAUUUUAAGGGAGAGGAAAAAAAGCUCAGCAGAAAAGUGGUUAAGUUGCCCAGGAAAGAGGCCGAGUCCCCAUCCCCAGAGGUAUUUAAAAAUACAUGUAGUUGUGGCACUUUGGGACACGGUUUAGUCUGGGACUUGGCAGUGCCAGGUUAACAACUGGUCUUGAUGAUCUUUGAGAUCUUUCUCAACUUAAUGAUUCUAAGUGCAGAAUGCAUUCAGUUUACUUAGAGCACACUGUGUCUCUGGAAAGAUUCCAGCACUCUGCUGCAUAACUGGAGCCUAACUAUCCCAGUGGAGCUGAAGCACCCUCCUGAAGGCUGGUUCAGAAAGGUGACAGCUGCCCCACACCAUCUCCCCAUCUCCCGAUUUCCACAUCCCAUCUCUCCUGAAGCUCUGAACCCCAAGGAUAUGGGAGCAGAGAGGAAUGGGAGGAUGCAGCAAUGCCAAGACACCAAGCAGUUCAUGGCCAGAUUGUAUUUACCAUGGAUACAGCCCUACCAGCCCCAAGGGCUCUGAGACUGCUGUCCCAGGAGAACCUGUAUGAAAAAGGCAUCCCUGACGAAGGCUGGGAGGGAGAUGUGUUUGUGUUUGACUGGAUGGUGCCAUCCAUGCAUGCAAAACUGCAGAGCACAGCUGGACUGCAGAAGAGAGAAGGAGAGGGAGGCUCAGAACAGGGAACACGUUUACUGCUUACAGGAUGAGACUGACAGAAAGGACAAGGCAGGCAUGCAGAGCAGUACCACUUCUUACUGCUGCCCUUUCUAAAAGCAAGACUUGUGUCCCAGAGUUCAGCAUUAGUGGUUACUCAUCAAAGCACACAUCAGGCAGCACAAGAGCAGGCCAUGGCUGAGUCCCAGUGUGCCAUUCCUUCUUCACCACUGUCCCUGCUCUGGGUCACAUCCUGGUUGCACUGUGCAUGCACAAGCUCCCUGCUCUGGCUCUGAGGAGGAGGGGGCUGGACCUCUGGUACUGGUAAGCACUUCCAGCUGGAUUCCCAUUAGCUUAACGUUUCCUGUGCUGCGCAAUGGUGUCCUUUCAAAUGGGUCCCCACCCAGUUCUUCUGGCAGUGCAGGGAAAAAUGCAGCUCUGAGUAACCAGAAACACAUGCCAUUUAACUGUAAGAAAGAACACCAUUACCUCCCUCCCUCCCU